rnacentral:sRNA from 2 species
GAGCGGCAGUCAUAAAAUGCCGUGUGUCUGGUGAUUGGCCUGUCCCCCGCCCGCACCAGAUAAGGACAAAGGCCUCAUCCCCCUCUCCGGGCCUUUGUCCCGCUUUCAAAAAAACCGUCACGGCGCCGCCUCCGCGCCGUGACGGUUUUUU